rnacentral:rRNA from 1 species
UACGUAGGUGGCAAGCGUUAUCCGGAUUUACUGGGUGUAAAGGGAGCGCAGACGGAACUGCAAGUCUGAUGUGAAAGCCCGGGGCUCAACCGCGGGACUGCAUCGGAUACUGUGGAUCUGGAGUGCCGGAGGGGCAAGCGGAAUUCCUGGUGUAGCGGUGAAAUGCGUAGAUAUCAGGAGGAACACCGGUGGCGAAGUCGGCUUACUGGACCGGCAAUGACGCUGAGGCUCGAAAGCGUGGGGAGCAAACAGGAUUAGAUACCCCU